rnacentral:rRNA from 1 species
GAUGAACGCUGGCGGCGUGCCUAAUACAUGCAAGUCGAGCGAACAGACGAGGAGCUUGCUCCUCUGACGUUAGCGGCGGACGGGCGAGUAACACGUGGAUAACCUACCUAUAAGACUGGGAUAACUUCGGGAAACCGGAGCUAAUAUCGGAUAAUAUAUUGAACCGCAUGGUUCAAUAGUGAAAGACGGUUUUGCUGUCACUUAUAGAUGGAUCCGCGCCGCAUUAGCUAGUUGGUAAGGUAACGGCUUACCAAGGCAACGAUGCGUAGCCGACCUGAGAGGGUGAUCGGCCACACUGGAACUGAGACACGGUCCAGACUCCUACGGGAGGCAGCAGUAGGGAAUCUUCCGCAAUGGGCGAAAGCCUGACGGAGCAACGCCGCGUGAGUGAUGAAGGUCUUCGGAUCGUAAAACUCUGUUAUUAGGGAAGAACAAAUGUGUAAGUAACUAUGCACGUCUUGACGGUACCUAAUCAGAAAGCCACGGCUAACUACGUG